AGGCCUGGAGUCUCGCUCGCCUCUGUUUUCCCCCUGUGGACACACAUGAGACUCAGAUCUUGGCUCGUCGUAGAGGAAUCGAUAGCAAGAAUCAACCAGAGAAAGGAUGUACACAAGGUACUCGAUGGUUUUCCCCCAGCACUAGCUUUGUGUUGAGUUCGUUUUUGUAUUUUUCUGUUUAUGACUGAAGCGAGAAGCUACACAUUGUUGUUCUCCUUUACAGCCUCACGCAUACACACAGUGCACAUCCAGGCCGUGCAGUACACCAUGACCCUCUCACCUUUGCCCAUGCCUGUUAUACGUGUGCAAAGCAUGCCAAUAGUGCCCAGCACAGGAGCUGCACCCAUGCUACAUGCCCUGCUUUAUUUGUUACAGUUCUACACAAGUGGAAACCCCAAGCUAAAUUAUAGAGAACAAAAAUAGCUCACAGUCAGAGAUCAGAUUGAAUGAGGACCGGUGCUCUAAUUGAUUCUUUUGCAAGGAGGGGUUUCAGUGUUCAAACAUAAUGCAUUUCCAUUUUCAGUUUGACCAAACUUGUAUGCGGAGUAAAAGGAGAAGGUGGGGGUAUAACGACAUAUCCGUGAUUACAUGGUCAAAAUACAGACCUAGGAUAUUUGAAUGUUUCCAUAUAAAUGUUAUCCUCUACCCGCAAAAUAAUAAUAUAAAUGUAGUCGUCUUAUAUUUCGUAGCUUCCUGUUACCAGGAUUGAUAGCUAUCGUAUUUCAUUCCGUUGUUUAGUAAUGAAUUGUUGUGAUGCAUUUUUUACUUUAAUCCUUGCUACUUUUACAGCAGCCUUCUCGCGCAGAUCAUUUUGUAUAGAUGUAUAACGGCAUGCCCGUGAUUGCUCUGUAAAAACCCGGCCUAGGAUAUAUGAAUACUCCAUAUGUGCAGCCUUCUUGCGCAGAUCAUUUUGUAUAGACGUAUAACGGCAUGCCCGUGAUUGCUCUGUAAAAACCCGGCCUAGGAUAUAUGAAUACUUCCAUAUAAACAUAUGCCUCUUCUAUUUUGUAGUUUCUCAUUCUAAAGAAUGAUAUAUAUCAUAUUUCAUUAUGUUGUUUCGGUAAAUAAAUUUCCUUUCUGAUUCUUUUUUGUUAAGUAUCCAAGUAAGAGUCUGAUUAGUGGCGGUGAUUUCAGAGCUCGAGGCAGAGAUGGCGGAGCUCGGGCGAGCUUGAGACUAUGGAUCUAGGACUUGAGUGCUCACGGGAUGGAGGUGCUCAGGAUGGAGGCAGGGGAGGGCGCCCUGCGGGAAGUGAUUUAUGUGCUCCUUGAUUAGGUUUUUUUAUAACCGAUGGCAUCUUACAUUGUUGUCUUUUACCGAUUAACUGGUUAAAAUGGUCUUCAAGGGAAAACCAACGCAGUGCUCAAGAGGUAGCAAUGACCGAGGUGUUAAACUA
rnacentral:lncRNA from 1 species